UACGGGAGGCAGCAGUGGGGAAUAUUGCACAAUGGGCGAAAGCCUGAUGCAGCUAUGCCGCGUGUAUGAAGAAGGCCUUAGGGUUGUAAAGUACUUUCAUCGGGGAGGAAAAACAAAACUAAUAAUUUUAUUUCUUGACGUUACCCGAAAAAGAAGCACCGGCUAACUCCGUGCCAGCAGCCGCGGUAAUACGGAGGGUGCUAGCGUUAAUCAGAAUUACUGGGCGUAAAGAGCACGUAGGUGGUUUUUUUAAGUCAGAUGUGAAAUCCCUGGGCUUAACCUGGAACUGCAUUUUGAAACUGAAAUACUAGAGUAUCGUAGAGGGAGGUAGAAUUCUAGGUGUAGCGGUGAAAUGCGUAGAUAUCUGGAGGAAUACCUGUGGCGAAAGCGGCCUCCUAAACGAAUACUGACACUGAGGUGCGAAAGCGUGGGAGCGAACAGGAGUAGUAUAC
rnacentral:rRNA from 1 species